AAAUAACAUGGUAAGAAUGAAAUGGAGCUGAAAAUGAAUUUUGUAAAAUUUGAUAGUUGCAAUUGGAUAGAAAAUGUGAAAUGGUAUGAUUUGUAUUUGAAAUAUUAUUUCAAAACGUUCAAUCACAUUCAUGAAUUUAGUUUUCAUCAAUUGAAUCUACCAAAAAAAGAAAAAAGCCUAGUGGUAGAGGAAAGGAAUGGUACUAGUGGGGACCCUGCCCUCUCCAGCCCUAACAAACUCCCUUCCUAUAUUUUCAUCUAAGCAAUUUCGGGCCCCAAGAAUUGGCUUUGAUAAGUCAAGUUUAUAUUAUUUUCCUUUUUAUAAAUACAAAAUACACUUUUAACUCAAUAAUUGUUCAUAAAGAUUUUCCUCAAAAUUAGUUAAAACUUCUACUCCUUUGUGUUUAUAUUUUCUUAGUACUACAUCUUCAUGUUUAUCAACAAAUGCAACAUAAUCAUCCAUUUGAGUGUUUUACAUGAUCUAGAGAAUUCAUUC
rnacentral:misc_RNA from 1 species